GCGCUCCUCACUGUCUAGUUAUCAGUGUCUGAGAGGGCGCGCAAGAUGCUUCUUCCGCAUUUAACGCUUUUCUGGAGCAGAAAACAAGAGCUAUAACAGCUGUGUGGUGUUUGGUUGUUUUGGUGGAGACAGAGGCCAAAGAAACCACAGAGCAGUCUAAGUUGUAGUUCUUCUCUCCCUUAUAUAAAGUUCACAGAAACAGAAUAACGCCGGGACUUAAGCUCUGAAUGAAGUUACUCUGGCCUUGAUGGGACUCAGCGCUGGAAAACUGUGCUAUCCGGUGAGACUGGAGCCCUUGCACAGUGUUGGUAGAAAUGUGACUGGAUAAAGAAAACAUGGCAUUUACCCAAUGCAGUAUUAUUCAGCCUGCAGAAAAGAACAUUGUCAUUUGCAACAUGGAUGAUCCUGGAGGACAUGAAGCCAGGCACAGAAAAACAAAUGUCACAUGAUCUCGCUUAUAUAUGAAGUGAAAAAUAAAUCACAGAAACAGAGGCUGAAGUGGUGGAAAGAUUAAGAAUAUGUUGGUGGAAGGAGGGAAAAAUUUAAGAGAUAUAGUGUACAUCAUGGUUACUACAGUUAAGAAGCCAGGUGGGAUGGUGCACUCAACAAUU